UACGAAGGGUGCAAACGUUGCUCGGAAUUAUUGGGCGUAAAGCGCACGUAGGCGGCUUUGCAAGUCGGAUGUGAAAUCCCUCGGCUUAACCAAGGAAGUGCAUCCGAAACUGCAGAGCUUGAGUACUUAAGAGGAUCGCGGAAUUCCCGGUGUAGAGGUGAAAUUCGUAGAUAUCGGGAGGAACACCAGUGGCGAAGGCGGCGACCUGGGCCAAUAUUGACGCUGAGGUGCGAAAGCGUGGGGAGCAAACAGGG
rnacentral:rRNA from 1 species